rnacentral:misc_RNA from 1 species
GGAAUAAAAGUCGUAACAAGGUCUCCGUAGGUGAACCUGCGGAGGGAUCAUUACAGAGUUCAUGCCCUACCGGGUAGAUCUCCCACCCUAUGUUAUUAUUACUUUGUUGCUUUGGCGGGCCGUUAGGCUCCGGCCCGACUACCGGCCCCGGCUGGUAAGCGCCCGCCAGAGGACCCAAAACCCUGAAUAUUAGUGUCGUCUGAGUACUAUGUAAUAGUUAAAACUUUCAACAACGGAUCUCUUGGUUCUG